GCCGAGAUAGCUCAGUU
rnacentral:tRNA from 1 species